UCCUUGUUGGCGCAGCAGGCAGAGCGUCAGUCUCAUAAUCUGAAGGUCGUGAGUUCGAUCCUCACACGGGGCA
rnacentral:tRNA from 1 species